rnacentral:rRNA from 1 species
CCUACGGGUGGCAGCAGUGAGGAAUAUUGGUCAAUGGGCGUAAGCCUGAACCAGCCAAGUCGCGUGAGGGAUGAAGGUUCUAUGGAUCGUAAACCUCUUUUAUAAGGGAAUAAAGUGUGGGACGUGUCCUAUUUUGUAUGUACCUUAUGAAUAAGGAUCGGCUAACUCCGUGUCAGCAGCCGCGGUAAUACGGAGGAUCCGAGCGUUAUCCGGAUUUAUUGGGUUUAAAGGGUGCGUAGGCGGCCUUGUAAGUCAGCGGUGAAAGUUUGUGGCUCAACCAUAGAACGGCCGUUGAAACUGGGGGGCUUGAGUGUGUUAGAGGAAGGCGGAAUGCGUGGUGUAGCGGUGAAAUGCUUAGAUAUCACGAAGAACCCCGAUUGCGAAGGCAGCCUGCCAGGCCAUGACUGACGCUGAUGCACGAAAGCGUGGGGAUCAAACAGGAUUAGAUACCCGUGUAGUC